rnacentral:rRNA from 1 species
AUUGAACGCUGGCGGCAGGCCUAACACAUGCAAGUCGAGCGGCUGCAGGGUGAUUGCUCCUGCUUUCAGCGGCGGACGGGUGGGUGAGGCCUAGAAACAUGCCUGGCAGUGGGGGCUAACGUCCGGACACAGGCGCUCAUACCCUAUACGUCCUGACGACGUAAGUGGGGGAUCUUCGGAUCUUCCGCCCUUGGAUGAGCCUAGGUCGGAUUAGCUAGUUGGGGGGGUAAAGGCCUACCAAGGCGACGAUCCGUAACGGGUCUGAGAGGAUGAUCAGUCACACUGGAACUGAGACACGGUCCAGACUCCUACGGGAGGCAGCAGUGGGGAAUAUUGGACAAUGGGCGAAAGCCUGAUCCAGCCAUGCCGCGUGUGUGAAGAAGGUCUUCGGAUUGUAAAGCCCUUUAGUUGGGGAGGAAGAGCAGUAAGUUAAUACCUCGCUGUUUUGACGUUACCAACAGAAUAAGCACCGGCUAACUUCGUG